UACGGAGGGUGCAAGCGUUGCUCGGAAUUAUUGGGCGUAAAGGGCAGGUAGGUGGUCUUAUUUGUCCGGGGUGAAAUCCUUGAGCUUAACUCAAGAAGUGCCCCGGAGACGGUGAGACUAGAGUUUUGGAGAGGGUCGUGGAAUUCCCGGUGUAGCGGUGAAAUGCGUAGAGAUCGGGAGGAACACCAGAGGCGAAAGCGACAUCCUGGACCGGUAUUGACGCUGAGGCGCGAAAGCCAGGGGAGCAAACGGG
rnacentral:rRNA from 1 species